GAUGAACGCUGACAGAAUGCUUAACACAUGCAAGUCGAGGGGGCAGUCGUGCUUGCACCAUGUUAACCAUGGCGGACGGGUGAGUAACGCGUAAGGAACUUGCCUGCGUGUCUGGGAUAACAGCCGGCAACUGCUGAUAAUACCGGAUAAGGUCUUUAAUCUGCAUAGUUUAGUGAUGAAAGGAGACGCCUGCGGAGAGGCUUGGGUCCUAUUAGAUAGUGGGAGGGGUAACGGCCCACCAAGGCGCAGAUAGGUAGCCGGCCUGAGAGGGUGGACGGCCACAAGGGGACUGGGAUGCGGCCGUUACGACUACGGGAGGCAGCAGUGGAGAAUAUUGGAGAAAGGGGGCAACAGUGAUCAAGGAAUUCUGUGUGCAAGAAGAUGGUUUUCGGAUUGAAAAGUGCUUUCAGCAAGGAAGAAGGAAGUGACGGUACCUGAAGAAAAAGCGACGGCUAAAUACGUG
rnacentral:rRNA from 1 species